AGGCAGCAGUGGGAAUAUUGGACAAUGGGCGCAAAGCCUGAUCCAGCCAUGCCGCGUGAGUGAUGAAGGCCCUAGGGUUGUAAAAGCUCUUUCAGCGAGGAGGAUAAUGACGUUACUCGCAGAAGAAGCCCCGGCUAACUUCGUGCCAGCAGCCGCGGUAAUACGAAGGGGGCUAGCGUUGUUCGGAAUCACUGGGCGUAAAAGCGCACGUAGGCGGACUUUUUAAAGUCAGGGUGAAAAUCCCGGGCUCAAACCCCGGAAACUGCCUUUGAUACUGGAAAGUCUUGAGUCCGAGAGAGGUGAGUGGAACUCCGAGUGUAGAGGUGAAAUUCGUAGAUAUUCGGAAGAACACCAGUGGCGAAGGCGGCUCACUGGCUCGGUACUGACGCUGAGGUGCGAAAGUGUGGGGAGCAAACAGGAUUAGAUACCCUGGUAG
rnacentral:rRNA from 1 species